rnacentral:rRNA from 1 species
GACGAACGCUGACGGCGUGCUUAACACAUGCAAGUCGAACGGUGAACGAGGGAGCUUGCUCCCUCCGGAUCAGUGGCGAACGGGUGAGUAACACGUGAGCAAUCUGCCCCGAACUCUGGGAUAAGCGUUGGAAACGACGUCUAAUACCGGAUACGACGCGGGAGGGCAUCCUCUCCGCGUGGAAAGAACUUCGGUUCGGGAUGAGCUCGCGGCCUAUCAGCUUGUUGGUGAGGUAACGGCUCACCAAGGCGACGACGGGUAGCCGGCCUGAGAGGGUGACCGGCCACACUGGGACUGAGACACGGCCCAGACUCCUACGGGAGGCAGCAGUGGGGAAUAUUGCACAAUGGGCGCAAGCCUGAUGCAGCAACGCCGCGUGAGGGACGACGGCCUUCGGGUUGUAAACCUCUUUUAGCAGGGAAGAAGCGAAAGUGACGGUACCUGCAGAAAAAGCACCGGCUAACUACGUG